UCUAGGGCCUUUUGUGUCUGGAUCCUAACAGUAUCAUAGUAUUUCCUUCCUUCCUUCCUUCCUCCGUCUCUCCCUGCCUCUUUCCCUCUCUCUUUCCCGCCUAUGUCCCCCUGCUGCUUCUCACUUUCUCUCUUCUUUUUCUCUUUUAGAUCUUUGAAAUACAACUUUAUUCUGCUUCUAAAGGAAAAAGAAUGGGAGUGGCAGAAACAAGAUUUCACCCUUGAACAUUGUGUUGUGAUUGCAGCAGUCUUAUACUGGAAACUUAAGAAGGAAACAGCUGCAUUCUAAAACAGCUAAGCACGUGGGUCCAGAAAACCAAGGCACUUUUCUUAGCUGCCAUGUUCACUCUGAAGCCCGUUCAUCUCCUUCAGAAUCCUAAAGAUGAAGUACACUUUCUCUCAGCUCUUGAUUGCAGUGGCAGACAGCCAGCGCCACUGACGUUACAGUUUUCCUAUAAAAACAGACAUCUGAUGUGGGGUUCCAGCUUCACUUUCUCAUGGGUCAUCGUCCCCAUUUGGGAAAGCAGCUGUCUGAGCAACCUUGAAAUCAUGCUCCUGUUGGAAAGGACAAGCAGUGCAUGUGAGCUGAAGAGUGAAGGGGUGGAAUGUAGUGAGUAUUUUUGGUUUUGUCUGCUCAGCAUUACAUCCUCCCGUUAUAUGCCUGUGGUAAUGGCAUCCCAGUUUUCUUCCCAGAACUGUCCCUCCACCUAUUGGACUGUCAACUCCGGUGUUCUUUCUUUCUGGGGCUCUAUCGUUCCCAGAAGUCCGCAAGAAGAUCCACCAGCCAAUAAUUACCAGCUCUUCCAACUUGAGUAUCUUCAGAGGUAGGUAGAGUCAAAGUCCUGGGCUAGAAGUGGGAACCAGCAAACACUUUUUUUGUGGCUUGGUUGGAUGAAUUCCUUGUCCAAAUCAUGCCUCCAGAUCAUGC
rnacentral:lncRNA from 1 species